UCNNACGCACCCUUCGGGGUGAGUGGCAGACGGGUGAGUAACGCGUGGGAACGUACCCUUUGGUUCGGAAUAGCCCUUGGAAACGAGGAGUAAUACCGAANGANCCCUACGGGGGAAAGAUUUAUCGCCGAAGGAUCGGCCCGCGUUAGAUUAGCUAGUUGGUGAGGUAAUGGCUCACCAAGGCGACNAUCUAUAGCUGGUUUGAGAGGAUGAUCANCCACNCUGGGACUGAGACACGGCCCAGACUCCUACGGGAGGCAGCAGUGGGGAAUCUUGGACAAUGGGGGAAACCCUGAUCCAGCCAUGCCGCGUGAAUGAUGAAGGCCUUAGGGUUGUAAAAUUCUUUCAGUGGGGAANAUAAUGACGGUACCCACAGAAGAANCCCCGGCUAACUCCGUGCCAGCAGCCGCGGUAAUACNGAGGGGGCUAGCGUUGUUCGGAAUUACUGGGCGUAAAGCGCGCGUAGGCGGACUAGCCAGUCAGAGGUGAAAGCCCAGGGCUCAACCCUGGAACUGCCUUUGAUACUGUUAGUCUGGAGUCCGGGAGAGGUGUGUGGAAUUCCGAGUGUAGAGGUGAAAUUCGUAGAUAUUCGGAGGAACACCAGAGGCGAAGGCGGCACACUGGACCGGUACUGACGCUGAGGCGCGAAAGCGUGGGGAGCAAACAGG
rnacentral:rRNA from 1 species